GAACUCUACCAAGAGCACAGUUGUCGGCAGGUGGUGCGGAUUUUCCAAUGUGGUAACUUACUGGUUAUUUUGUGUGUCGGGUUUUGUCGGUAUACGGAAGAAAAUUUAUCCAAUGCUAGCCGUGGGUCUGAUUUAUCGGAUACUUGAAGUGAAUUCCAACUGAGUUUAACUAUUUUCGGUUAUUUGGAAGAUGGCGAGACCGGUGUAGGAAGUCGUUGGCUGUUCCUCGAGAAGGUACGAGUCGUGAUAGUGAAGUCGUCGC